rnacentral:lncRNA from 1 species
UUAGCGAUUUUAUGCUUGUUUUGCAUUGUUUUGAAGCUAAUUUGAGAAAAGUAGAGAAUGGAGUUGAAGAUACAGGUCGUUGACUCAAGAAAAGAGCAGAAAAAUGAAGAUUUGAAGAGUCGACGCACCGCCCGGCGGCACACUUAAACCGCCGGGCGGUCCAGGACGAGGAGAAGGCAUGGCGAUUGACGCUGGGCGGACCUGAGGCAAACCGCCCGGUGGCGAUUGCCGCCAGGCGGUAGGGCGAUUUGUGGCAAACCGUCGGGCGGCACACUUAAACCGCCCGGCGGUGGCUCGCUGGACUUGGGCCCAUUUUCUGACACGCUCCUCACCUAUAUAUACCCCUAUUGCGAAUUCAAAAUCAUUCUUUUGACAGGGGAGAACGACCAGACCUAAUUUUGCUCUCUGGAGAGGAUCUCUUGGAUGCUUAGGCUCCUUUUCAUCUUUUCUAGGGUUUGCU